GACGAACGCUGGCGGCGUGCUUAACACAUGCAAGUCGAACGGAAAGGCCCUGCUUUUGUGGGGUGCUCGAGUGGCGAACGGGUGAGUAACACGUGAGUAACCUGCCCUUGACUUUGGGAUAACUUCAGGAAACCGGGGCUAAUACCGGAUAAGAGCUCCUGCUGCAUGGUGGGGGUUGGAAAGUUUCGGCGGUUGGGGAUGGACUCGCGGCUUAUCAGCUUGUUGGUGGGGUAGUGGCUUACCAAGGCUUUGACGGGUAGCCGGCCUGAGAGGGUGAACGGCGACAUGGGGACUGAGAGACGGCCCAGACGCCUACGGGAGGCAGCAGUGGGGAGUAUGGCACAAUGGGCGGAAGCCUGAUGCAGCAGCGCCGCGUGCGGAAUGACGGCCUUCGGGUUGUAAACCGCUUUAGGCUGUGACGAAGCGUGAGUGACGGUAAUGGGUAAAGAAGCACCGGCUAACUACGUG
rnacentral:rRNA from 1 species